rnacentral:lncRNA from 1 species
UAAUUUCAUUAAUACCCCUCUAAAAGACAAUAAUUUUAUGAAUAUUACUUUAAACUUGAAAAUAUCAUCAAUACCUCUCUAAAAAUAAAAAAUAUUCACAGAUACACUUAGAGCAUGUUUGGUUCGCACUAUGAAAGAUUAUUAGAAAUAAAAAGAUACUUAAAAAUCUUAUUCCUACUCAUCCUAUUAUUAAAAUUGUGAUAUUCCAGUAUUUGGUUCGUACGACCAUAUUAUUUAAGAUUAUAAAAAAUAUAUAAUUAAUGUAUUUGUUUCGUUAAUUAAUUUUGUAUGAUACUAUCAAAAAUUUUAACAUCUUUUAAAAAAAGGGAGAGAGAUACAGGUUAAAGAGAGAGAGAGCAUAAUUAAAAAAAAAUAGAAAGAGAGAUAGAGUCGUAGUAAGAGGGAGCGAGAGAGUUGACAUUUUAAAAAGAGAGGGAGAGGGAGGGUUCAGUUUAGAAAGGAAAAAAGAGUUGAAAUUUAGAGAAAGAAAGAUAAGUUUAGAAAGAGAUAUAAGAUUAGAGUGUGAAGAAGAACAAUACAAACUAGCUGGCAGCUAGGGAGAAAAAAAAAUAUUAGACAUAUUGUACUUUCCCUAAUCCAUUAAUAUAAGAAUAACUAUCCUCUUUCAAAAAAAUAAGAUUAAUAUUUUGGAAUAAAUCUCAUUUCUAUGUAAAUCUAAUAUUAUCAACUAAAUUACUUAGUGAGUUUAACCAAACGCUCUUAUAUUUUCUUAUUCCUAUUGAAUUACUGGAAAUUUUAAAGAGAUAGCGCAAAAUAAAUGCACCUGUAAGGUUAACAUUUUGUCAAAUAAUCAUCCAAUAUUCUUUAAAUACUAUUUUUAUUCCUAGCACUAAUUUAACUAAGUAUAAUAAUUUAAGAUUAAUUAAAUAAUCAAUGUUUAAUAUUUGAAUCACAUAAUAAUUUAACAUUUUUUAAAAAAAAUCGUACAAUUAAAGAUCUAUAGUCGAUUAAGUAUAAUAAUUAAAUCUCAUUAUGCUUUUUGGCAUUUAAAUUUUACAUAGUUGUAAUGCGUAUCUUCUAUACCUAUAUAUUAUUUGUCAUAGAGUUUGCCACAUGGCAAUUUCUUCUUCAAUCCACUUCUCACUCCCUAAUGCUUCGCCUUCCCACCCAAUCUCUGUCUAAUGCUUUGUCUUCCUACUCACCCACUUUCUAAUUAAUAAAUUCACAUGAUCCAUUUUCAUUUAAACAAAUUGCUUUAAGAAAAAGUAAAAUAAGAUUUUUUCGUACUCUUUUUUAUCAUAUUUUUUUCUUUUUGCUUGUUUUUGUGCACAAGAAGGGUUCAAUUUUUUGUUUUUUUCUUGAUCUCUUUUGCUAUUUUUUUUAAAAUUGUGUGAGGAAUGAAAUUAGGAUUCAAAGGAUCGCGGUGGCGCGGCGUGUGUGAGGAUUGAAAUUAGGAUUCCGAGGAUCGCGGUAGCGCGGCGAGGUGGAGUGCGAUGGAUUUGGAGUCAAUGAGGGGAAAGAAGCGGUGGGUGUGGGGGGAUCCAUA